UACGGAGGAUGCAAGCGUUAUCCGGAAUGAUUGGGCGUAAAGCGUCCGCAGGUGGCAAUGUAAGUCUGCUGUCAAAGCGUCUGGCUCAACCAGAUAAAGGCAGUGGAAACUACAUAGCUAGAGUAAGGUAGGGGUAGAGGGAAUUCCUGGUGUAGCGGUGAAAUGCGUAGAGAUCAGGAAGAACACCGGUGGCGAAAGCGCUCUGCUGGACCUUAACUGACACUGAGGGCCGAAAGCUAGGGGAGCGAAUGGG
rnacentral:rRNA from 1 species